UUGUGUUACUAAAGGUCACUGCACUCUGGCAGUUACAUUUUAUUGAUAGCCUCUGUUAUUUGCUUGGUUCAAUGAAGAAGGUAGAGAAGUGUGUGGUGUACAACAGAUCAGCAUUAGAGGGAACUGGGGCAGAGGAGAAUGGCAGGAGCAGUCGGCAUCAGGAACAGCAGGCUGUGCCAGCAGAUUGGCUCAGGGGCAGCCCCGGACCAUCCAGACUGUUGCAGAUGGAGGGAGCAUUCAGGAGAGUGGGAAGAGUCAGGAUCCAGGAUGAUUGAACUCAAGGCCUCACACAAUUACUCUACCAGUGAGUUACAUCUCCAGACCUUUUUAAUUUUGUGACAGGAUCUCUCUAAAUGGCCUUGAUUUUGCAAUCCUCUUGCAUCAGCCUCCUGAGUAGGUGGGAUUAUAGACGUGUGCCUCCCCCACCACACCUGACCUAAUUCUAACCAUUCAUCUAAAAGAUGAGAAUGGAACACUCUUCCCACCCACUUCCAAUAACAGCAAACUCUGAGCUGGAAAUUAGAAAACACUGAUCUCCUACUCAUGGAACCCCUUUCCGUGGUGAAAAAGCCUUAUGUGUUGCUAUGUGUUCUGAUUUUAGGGCAAAUAAAUAAUCAUAUUACA